rnacentral:rRNA from 1 species
GGGGGAUAUUGCACAAUGGGCGAAAGCCUGAUGCAGCAACGCCGCGUGAGGGAAGACGGUUUUCGGAUUGUAAACCUCUGUCUUUGGUGACGAAACAAAUGACGGUAGCCAAGGAGGAAGCCACGGCUAACUACGUGCCAGCAGCCGCGGUAAUACGUAGGUGGCGAGCGUUGUCCGGAAUUACUGGGUGUAAAGGGAGCGCAGGCGGGGAGACAAGUCAGCUGUGAAAACUAACGGCUUAACCGAUAGAGUGCAGUUGAAACUGUUUUUCUUGAGUGGAGCAGAGGCAGGCGGAAUUCCGAGUGUAGCGGUAAAAUGCGUAGAUAUUCGGAGGAACACCAGUGGCGAAGGCGGCCUGCUGGGCUUUAACUGACGCUGAGGCUCGAAAGUGUGGGGAGCAAAC